rnacentral:rRNA from 1 species
GUGGGGAAUUUUGGACAAUGGGCGAAAGCCUGAUCCAGCCAUUCCGCGUGCAGGAUGAAGGCCCUCGGGUUGUAAACUGCUUUUGUACAGAACGAAAAAGCUCUGGUUAAUACCUGGAGUCCAUGACGGUACUGUAAGAAUAAGCACCGGCUAACUACGUGCCAGCAGCCGCGGUAAUACGUAGGGUGCAAGCGUUAAUCGGAAUUACUGGGCGUAAAGCGUGCGCAGGCGGUGAUGUAAGACAGUUGUGAAAUCCCCGGGCUCAACCUGGGAACUGCAUCUGUGACUGCAUCGCUGGAGUGCGGCAGAGGGGGAUGGAAUUCCGCGUGUAGCAGUGAAAUGCGUAGAUAUGCGGAGGAACACCGAUGGCGAAGGCAAUCCCCUGGGCCUGCACUGACGCUCAUGCACGAAAGCGUGGGGAGCAAACAGG